AAAAUGCGAUACUUGGUGUGAAUUGCAGAAUCCCGUGAACCAUCGGCCGAGGGCACGUCCGAGGGCACGUCUGCCUGGGCGUCACGCAUCGUGUCGCCUCCGACCACGCCUCUCCCAUGGGCACGCGUUUGGUCGGGGGCGGAGACGGGUCUCCCGUGCCCAUGGCGCGGUUGGCCUAAAAAGGAGUCCCCUCUGACGGACGCACGACUAGUGGUGGUUGUCAAGGCCUUUGUAUCGAGCCGUGCGUCAUGAGCCGCGAGGGAAGCGCUCUCCAAAGACCCCAACGCGUCGUCUCGCGACGAUGCUUCGACCGCGACCCCAGGUCAGGCGGGACAACCCGCUGAGUUUAA
rnacentral:misc_RNA from 1 species